rnacentral:rRNA from 1 species
UAAUACGAAGGACCCGAGCGUUAUCCGGAUUUAUUGGGUUUAAAGGGUGCGUAGGUGGACUUAUAAGUCAGUGGUGAAAGCCUGUUGCUUAACAACAGAACUGCCAUUGAUACUGUAGGUCUUGAGUACAGUUGAGGUGGGCGGAAUGUGUCAAGUAGCGGUGAAAUGCUUAGAUAUGACACAGAACACCAAUUGCGAAGGCAGCUCGCUAAGCUGUAACUGACACUGAGGCACGAAAGCGUGGGUAGCAAACAGGAUUAGAUACCCUGGUAGUCCACGCCCUAAACCAUGAUUACUCGCUGUUGGCGAUAUACUGUCAGCGGCUAAGCGAAAGCGUUAAGUAAUCCACCUGGGGAGUACGACCGCAAGGUUG